rnacentral:lncRNA from 1 species
AAGUGCUCCUCCAUUAACAUUUCUUUUUGGUUUUUCAGCACCUGCUUCGGCAUCUAAUCAUAAAGCAGCUUCAGGCACCAAACCAAAAGUAGCACUGGAUCCCCAUAUCCGGCUCAAGGAUGGGAAAUUGGAACUGGUUCUGCAGUAUCUUGGUCUGGAUGUGAGCGAGGAGAAGAAGAGGCAGUUACGGCAAAGCUUGACCACAGACUCGCAGGGGACAGUGGCCUAUGGAGGUGAGCGGGCAGCUCUGCACAUGACCGGCUUUUUAAUUUUUGUGUAGCUUUGCUGGAGGCU